rnacentral:rRNA from 1 species
UACGGAGGGGACUAGCGUUGUUCGGAAUUACUGGGCGUAAAGCGCUCGUAGGCGGCUUUGUAAGUUAGAGGUGAAAGCCCGGAGCUCAACUCCGGAAUUGCCUUUAAGACUGCAUCGCUUGAAUCAUGGAGAGGUGAGUGGAAUUCCGAGUGUAGAGGUGAAAUUCGUAGAUAUUCGGAAGAACACCAGUGGCGAAGGCGACUCACUGGACAUGUAUUGACGCUGAGGUGCGAAAGCGUGGGGAGCAAACAGG